UAAGGAAUAUUGGUCAAUGGACGCAAGUCUGAACCAGCCAUGCCGCGUGAAGGAUGAAGGUCCUCUGGAUUGUAAACUUCUUUUAUCUGGGACGAAAACGGGAUUUUUAUCUCAAUUGACGGUACCAGAGGAAUAAGCACCGGCUAACUCCGUGCCAGCAGCCGCGGUAAUACGGAGGGUGCGAGCGUUAUCCGGAUUUACUGGGUUUAAAGGGUGCGUAGGUGGGCUUAUAAGUCAGUGGUGAAAUCUCCGAGCUUAACUUGGAAACUGCCGUUGAUACUAUAGGUCUUGAAUUAUCUGGAGGUAAGCGGAAUAUGUCAUGUAGCGGUGAAAUGCUUAGAUAUGACAUAGAACACCAAUUGCGAAGGCAGCUUACUAAGCGGUGAUUGACACUGAGGCACGAAAGCGUGGGUAGCAAACA
rnacentral:rRNA from 1 species